rnacentral:lncRNA from 1 species
UGUCAUAGUAACCAUUACUGUGAUCUCUUUACCAAGUGCCAGGCACUCUUCACGUGCAUUGUCUCGGGCAACCUGUAAACAGCCCAAGAGUUAGAUAAAAUUGCUGCCUCAUUCUACUGAGAAAAAACCUACAGCGUGGCAUGGAUAUCCACUGGCUGGCACACCAGAAGCCAUGUUAGACUAAGAGGUGACUCAGGAUGGCCAUGCACUGGAGGUAGCAAAGCAGAGAGAAAGGAGUCUGCCUGAUGACAGCCUACAGCCUCCAUUACCAGGCCUGGGCCAAUCACCUCUGGACUUUUUCUACAUGAGAGAAUAAACCAUUAUAUGUUUAAAUCUGUAUUGUUUCCAGCUUUUAUAUG